rnacentral:rRNA from 1 species
GGAAACGAAUGCUAAUACCGCAUAAAAACUUUAAACACAAGUUUUAAGUUUGAAAGAUGCAAUUGCAUCACUCAAAGAUGAUCCCGCGUUGUAUUAGCUAGUUGGUGAGGUAAAGGCUCACCAAGGCGAUGAUACAUAGCCGACCUGAGAGGGUGAUCGGCCACAUUGGGACUGAGACACGGCCCAAACUCCUACGGGAGGCAGCAGUAGGGAAUCUUCGGCAAUGGACGAAAGUCUGACCGAGCAACGCCGCGUGAGUGAAGAAGGUUUUCGGAUCGUAAAACUCUGUUGGUAGAGAAGAACGUUGGUGAGAGUGGAAAGCUCAUCAAGUGACGGUAACUACCCAGAAAGGGACGGCUAACUACGUGCCAGCAGCCGCGGUAAUACGUAGGUCCCGAGCGUUGUCCGGAUUUAUUGGGCGUAAAGCGAGCGCAGGUGGUUUAUUAAGUCUGGUGUAAAAGGCAGUGGCUCAACCAUUGUAUGCAUUGGAAACUGGUAGACUUGAGUGCAGGAGAGGAGAGUGGAAUUCCAUGUGUAGCGGUGAAAUGCGUAGAUAUAUGGAGGAACACCGGUGGCGAAAGCGGCUCUCUGGCCUGUAACUGACACUGAGGCUCGAAAGCGUGGGGAGCAAACAGGAUUAGAUACCCUGGUAGUCCACGCCGUAAACGAUGAGUGCUAGAUGUAGGGAGCUAUAAG